rnacentral:rRNA from 1 species
GCAGUCGCCGCGGGAAUACGUAGGUGGCAAGCGUUGUCCGGAAUUAUUGGGCGUAAAGGGCUCGCAGGCGGUUUCUUAAGUCUGAUGUGAAAGCCCCCGGCUCAACCGGGGAGGGUCAUUGGAAACUGGGAAACUUGAGUGCAGAAGAGGAGAGUGGAAUCCCACGUGUAGCGGUGAAAUGCGUAGAGAUGUGGAGGAACACCAGUGGCGAAGGCGACUCUCUGGUCUGUAACUGACGCUGAGGAGCGAAAGCGUGGGGAGCGAACAGGAUUAGAUACCCCAGUAGUCCCUGUCUCUUAUAA